rnacentral:tRNA from 1 species
AAAAAAUUAGUUAAUUUAUAACAUUAAUUUGUCAAAUUAAAAUUAUUAUUAUAUAAUAUUUUUUU